rnacentral:rRNA from 1 species
AUACGGAGGGUGUGAGCGUUAAUCGGAAUUACUGGGCGUAAAGCGUACGUAGGCGGUUGGUUAAGUCAGAUGUGAAAUCCCCGGGCUCAACCUGGGAACUGCAUCUGAUACUGGUAAGCUAGAGUUUUGGAGAGGGAAGUAGAAUUUCAGGUGUAGCGGUGAAAUGCAUAGAGAUCAGAAGGAAUACCAGUGGCGAAGGCGACUUCCUGGCCAAAAACUGACGCUCAGGUGCGAAAGCAUGGGUAGCAAACGGGAUUAGAAACCCUAGUAGUCC